UAGGGAAUAUUGGACAAUGGGUGAGAGCCUGAUCCAGCCAUGCCGCGUGAGUGACGAAGGCCUUAGGGUUGUAAAGCUCUUUUGGCGGGGACGAUAAUGACGGUACCCGCAGAAUAAGCCCCGGCUAACUUCGUGCCAGCAGCCGCGGUAAUACGAAGGGGGCUAGCGUUGUUCGGAAUUACUGGGCGUAAAGCGCACGUAGGCGGAUUUGUCAGUCAGGGGUGAAAUCCCGAGGCUCAACCUCGGAACUGCCUCCGAUACAGCAAGUCUCGAGUCCGGAAGAGGUGAGUGGAAUUCCUAGUGUAGAGGUGAAAUUCGUAGAUAUUAGGAAGAACACCAGUGGCGAAGGCGGCUCACUGGUCCGGUACUGACGCUGAGGUGCGAAAGCGUGGGGAGCAAACAGGAUUAGAUACCCGUGUAGUCCCUGAGCGGGCUGGCAAGGCGCAU
rnacentral:rRNA from 1 species